rnacentral:misc_RNA from 1 species
AUUCGAGUUGGAAGAAAUUGUUGUUGAUGUGUUUUGUGAUUUUAUUUACAAAACAUGAAUUUAGCUUCCUCCCAUGGUUAUGGAAAUGGCCUAUUGUACGCAGGGUGGAACCAGGACCAAGGCUGCUUUGCUUGUGGAAUGGAAACAGGAUUUAGAGUUUAUAAUGCUGAUCCUCUUAAAGAAAAAGAAAGACAAGAUUUCACAGAUGGAGGAAUUGCACACAUUGAAAUGUUGUUCCGCUGCAAUUAUCUUGCUCUUGUAGGUGGCGGCAAGAACCCCAAAUAUCCUCCAAAUAAAGUGAUGGUGUGGGACGACCUGAAGAAGAAGAACGUCAUAGAACUGGAGUUCUCCAGUGAUGUCAGAAGUGUCCGGUUACGGCGAGAUAGGAUUGUGGUUGUGUUAGACACAAUGAUUAAGGUUUAUACAUUCACACAGAAUCCACAGCAACUCCAUGUGUUUGAGACAGGCAGUAAUCCUAAAGGAUUAUGUGUAAUGUGUCCAAACAGCAACAACUCACUGUUAUCAUUUCCCGGCCGCAAGGUUGGACACGUCCAGAUAGUGGACCUUGCCGAUACCGAGAAGUCUCCUCUCGACAUGGCUGCACACGAGGCCAGUCUCGGCUGCAUGGCCAUGAAUACUCAAGGAACGCGACUUGCAACUGCCUCCGAGAAGGGAACACUGAUUCGUGUGUUUGACACAAGUUCAGGAGUUCGGUUACAUGAGCUACGGAGAGGAACCCACAGUGCUAACAUCUACUGCAUCAAUUUCAACACGGAUUCGUCUUUGAUAUGUGUGUCAAGUGAUCAUGGAACUGUUCACAUUUUCUCAACAGAAGAUCCAAAGAAAAACAAACAGUCUAGCCUUGCGUCUGCUGGUUUCCUUCCAAAAUACUUCAGCUCCAACUGGAGUUUUUCCAAGUUCCAAGUUCCCGGUGGAGCCCAGUGUGUUUGUGCCUUUGGAACAGAACCGAACGCUGUGAUUGUUAUCUGUGCUGAUGGUAGCUACUACAAAUUCCUGUUCAACUCAAAGGGCGAGUGUACGAGAGAUGUGUAUGCUCAGUUCUUGGAGAUGACAGACGACCGCUCAUGAUAAUCUGUGAUAGACUCACGCAGUAGACGGGUACCUUCCUGUCGUACAUCCGACGAGUCUUUUUACAGCGACUGCAGUUCUUUGUUUGCUGGAGGAAGUUAAGUGGUUGGAAGUCAAAUGUGUAACAGUUUAAAGAACAUAUGCAUCAAUCGUUUUUCUUCAACUGUCGACAACAACAAUACUUUUAUGUGCAUAUUGCCAAUGAGUUCUGUGUGCGCAAAUAUUGUAUCAACAGAAUAAACUCAGACAUGUUAAGUUAAUAUUUUUAGAAACUGGUGCAGUUUUGUAAGCAUUUUCAGGGAAAAUGUGUUACAAAAUAUUGUUAUGAAAUUUUCAGCUUGUCUGGCAAAUUAAACUGUAUGCAUUGUAGAUAUUUGUUGGUACAAUCAUGUGUUAAAUAAUGUCAUAGCUCAGCUUGUGCAGUAGCAUUAUACAGGAGCAUUAUACAGUUGUUGUGUGAGGAGCCUCUAAAUAUAUGCAGUUAACUUGAAGCAGUUUGACCGUAGUGUUAGACGAUACUGUGCUUUACUUCACAUGAAUUUCAGUAGGAUAUUUUAUCUGUUUAAAGUAUAGUACUAAUACGAACAUUGUUUUCAGUUAGCUAUACCGGUUAUACACAGUCAAACACAGUGUUAAGAAGACACCAAAGGGAGUAUCGAAACUUUGCUUAAUUAGGAAAGGUGGCUGGUUACUACAGGUCAGUUUGUACUGCAUUAGAUGACUUGGGAGAGUAAAAAUGUGGCCUCUUAACACAGGUGGCUGGUUAAUACAGGUCAGUUUGUACUGCAUUAGAUGACUUGGGAGAGUAAAAAUGUGGCCUCUUAACACAGUUGGCUGGUUAAUACAGGUCAGUUUGUACUGCAUUUGAUGACUUGGGAGAGAAAAAAUGUGGCCUCUUAACACAGGUGGCUGGUUAAUACAGGUCAGUUUGUACUGCAUUAGAUGACUUGGGAGAGAAAAAAUGUGGCCUCUUAACACAGGUGGCUGGUUAAUACAGGUCAGUUUGUACUGCAUUAGAUGACUUGGGAGAGAAAAAAUGUGGCCUCUUAACACAGGUGGCUGGUUAAUACAGGUCAGUUUGUACUGCAUUAGAUGACUUGGGAGAGAAAAAAUGUGGCCUCUUAACACAGGUGGCUGGUUAAUACAGGUCAGUUUGUACUGCAUUAGAUGACUUGGGAGAGAAAAAAUGUGGCCUCUUAACACAGGUGGCUGGUUAAUACAGGUCAGUUUGUACUGCAUUAGAUGACUUGGGAGAGUACAAAUGUGGCCUCUUAACACAGGUGGCUGGUUAAUACUUGUGCCCACUAGAGCAGGCUUAACUGUACUACCCGGUAUUGUUUAUUUAGCAAGGUGUCGGUUUAAAUUUAGUUUUUAAACAGACUGGACCAAAUAUACAAAGCCUAUUUAUGUUUUACAAGUGUGUAACAACACACAUUUACAAUGCUUCUAAAAAAACCUUGCGUCUAAGAACAAGUUCUAUAAAUUCGGCUGUUAUCUCACCAUAUACAUGUACAGUGGAUGCAAUUUCUUCUGUAGUUUUAUUUUAAAACAUUUCUCUCCUAUGUUAAUCAUUGGUUAUUGUUUCUGGAUCUUUAUGAUUCUGCUAACUUUUCUCCAAGCUGUUUGAUAUUUAUGGAAACCUUGCAUGCAUUGACUGCACAAGAGUUUGUUACGGGAAAUGACUUUUGAUAACAGUAGACCAAAUAAACUGGACAUAAAGUUACAUUUUUGUUCUUGAUUUUGGUGUUGAUGUUUUUACAUCAUAAAAUUUCUGUUAGCUACUACAUUACAAAAUUCUUAAUUUGAUAAAUAUGGUGCUUCUGUUGGAAAUUUUAAUGGUCAGCUGAUUUGACCGCUUUAAGUUUCCAUGUAUGAUGUCAUGGUGUUUACCUCGUUAAUUUAAAAAUUGAAGUUGUGAGUCAGUUAUCACAAGACAUAGUUGUUUUUGAAUCGAUUUAUUGGGGUCAUGACAGAAAUGGAUGACCUAUUACAGAGAGUUAAAAACAGUUGUAGUGUAUUUUAUGGAAAUAUAGAAAUUUCAGCCAAAGGGAUAAAAAAAUAAUAUGUUUAACAUUGCUGUACUUCUGUCUCCACUAUUCACUCAUGCAUGAUUAUUUGUUUUGUAUUUUUCAUUAAAUUUACUAUUAGAAAAUGGGUCGCAUUUUUUAAAAUUAACUAUGUGAUAUAAUAAUAUAAAGACUAUUUCCUUGCAUGCAUCUAAUAAAAAUGUGCCUUUACUGUGGCUCUUUAAUAAAUUAAAAAUAGUUGUACUCCUUUCCUUAAUUUAUUUUUUUUUUUUUUUUUUUUUUUUUUUUACUUUACACUAAUAUUAAGUUUCUGUGCUGAACAUUUUCUUGGCUUAAUUUUAAAAUGUUCACCCUCUUUGUGUUCAAAGAAUAACUUAGCAGCAGAAGUAGCUACUACGAUUAUACAACAACGUAUACAUUCAGGGUAUUACUUCUAGCACAUUUUUUUAAUAAACUUGUUUCAACACUCCUACAACAAUAAUAGCGAGAUAAUUUCAUACCCCCCCCCCCCCCCCCCCUCUUUCCCCAAAUGGUAUGAAUUGGUUAAGAGGGUUUUUAGACACUCUUUGUUUAGGAUUUAUUAUUAUUAUUAUUAUUAUUGUUAUUAUUAUUAUAAUUAUUGUUAUUUUUAUUAUUAUUAUUAUUAUUAUUAUUAUUUAAAUAUUAAGCAAAUUCUAAAUUUCUGUACCUAUUAGUUUGCUGAUAUAUAUAGUAGUGAGUUUUAUGACAUUUCAUACAUGACUUGUACAAUAUGGACAAAUUACAAUACUCAAGUUUUAAAAUCAAAUUCUUUGUCCACUUGUACAUUUCAUGGGCAUUCAUGGGGGAACAGUAUCUGAGAACAAGCAUAGAUUGUUGUUACAAAAUGGCUGCUUUUUGGAUCCAUUUGUGAUUAUGCCUGUAUAUUUUUUGUAAACCUAUUUUUGUAGGAUAUUGUAUGAAUGAAUGUAUCCAUGUUGAUGAAAUGUAUUAAACUGUUGAUUUAAGUAUGUU